GCUUACAGCCAUACGACCCUGAGCACACCCAAUCUCGACUGAUCUCAGAAACUAAGCAGGGUUGGGCUUGGUUAGUACUUGGAUGGAAGAGUAUUAAUCAGGUGGAACCA
ensembl:rRNA 5S_rRNA 5S ribosomal RNA